rnacentral:ncRNA from 1 species
CCUGCGCUUCCAUUUCACGGUCAGACAGGCCACCGCAGAUCUGGAUAAUACGGUCAGACAGCGUUGAUUUACCGUGGUCGAUGUGAGCUAUGAUUGAAAAGUUACGUAUGUUCUUCAUAUAGUGUAAUUAUUGUGCCUUACGCCUGCCUGGGCAGGCUUUGAGAAGUCGCUGUUCUGAGCUUAACGUCGGUUUAAGUGAAACGCCGCAUUCUACACUACAACGCGGAGGCGAGGAAAUGUUCAUAGAGCAAGGAUAGCGGGAACUGGAAACAACUUAGCAAAGUCAGUGAAACUUUUACCGAAGUACGGCGUAAGUGCCUUAUCUGGCCUACGUAGUAACUGUCAUGUAGGCCUGAUAAGCGCAGCGCCAUCAGGCAUGUAUAUCACUGGUGUGUUUCGACGCGAAGAAGGUCAGGCGGGAGAGCUACGUUGAGAAUCACCGGCUGCCAGGCUUCACGUUCAGCCAGUUUGCGCGAAUAACCGCGAGCAAUCAGGAAUCCACCCACACCGCCCAGUAUCGCACCGCUUAACGCAGCGAUAUCGCUGCCAAACAGCACCUGGAAUAAGGCAGCAAAAACAAAUAAUCCCGCCAGCGGAGACAUAUAAACCAGCAUUGCGGAGCCCAACAGACUGCCUUCGGCAAUACCUAAUUCAACUUUCUGGCCGGGAGUCAGCGGUUCAACGCUGGGAACCACGAUAGUGUGCGUUGUCUGCGGCCCCAGUUUAUUCAGUACGCGGCUUCCGCAUCCUGCCCUUGAGGCACAGCUGCUGCACGACGCUUUGACGUCACAGCUGACCGUCGCCAGGCCAUUUUGCCAGGAAACAACUGUUGCCCACUCUUUGAUCAUUGUGCAGCCCUGAACUUGAUAUUAUCCGCGAUGCG